UACGUAGGGUGCGAGCGUUUGUCCGGAAUUAUUGGGCGUAAAGAGCUUGUAGGCGGUUUGUCGCGUCUGCUGUGAAAAUCCGGGGCUCAACCCCGGACUUGCAGUGGGUACGGGCAGACUAGAGUGUGGUAGGGGAGACUGGAAUUCCUGGUGUAGCGGUGAAAUGCGCAGAUAUCAGGAGGAACACCGAUGGCGAAGGCAGGUCUCUGGGCCACUACUGACGCUGAGAAGCGAAAGCAUGGGGAGCGAACAGG
rnacentral:rRNA from 1 species